GAUGAACGCUAGCUACAGGCUUAACACAUGCAAGUCGAGGGGUAACAAGAGAAAAGCUUGCUUUUCUUGUUGACGACCGGCGCACGGGUGAGUAACGCGUAUCCAACCUGCCUAUAACUAGGGAAUAACCUUGCGAAAGUAAGACUAAUACCCUAUGAUUUCCUUUGAUGACAUCAGAUUAGGAAUAAAGAUUUAUCGGUUAUAGAUGGGGAUGCGUCUGAUUAGCUUGUUGGCGGGGUAACGGCCCACCAAGGCAACGAUCAGUAGGGGUUCUGAGAGGAAGGUCCCCCACAUUGGAACGGAGACACGGUCCAAACUCCUACGGGAGGCAGCAGUGAGGAAUAUUGGUCAAUGGGCGGAAGCCUGAACCAGCCAGGUAGCGUGCAGGAUGACGGCCCUAUGGGUUGUAAACUGCUUUUAUACAGGAAUAAAGUUAGCCACGUGUGGUUAUUUGUAGGUACUGUAUGAAUAAGGACCGGCUAAUUCCGUGCCAGCCGCCGCAGUAA
rnacentral:rRNA from 1 species